ACCAUCCAGGACCUGCGGGGCAAGAUUCUUGGUGCCACCAUUGAGAACUCCAGGAUUGUCCUGGAGAUCGACAAC
rfam:Pongo abelii chromosome 6.